rnacentral:ncRNA from 1 species
UAAGAGUAUCAGGGGAGCUUUUGCUGAGAUUAGGUUAAUCCUUAAACCCUUUGGACCAGGACAGGUAAUGCUGUCACGGGAACAAUGCCUCUCUUUGAAG